UACGUAGGGGGCUAGCGUUGUCCGGAUUUAUUGGGCGUAAAGAGCGUGUAGGCGGCCAGGUAGGUCUGCUGUGAAAACUCGAGGCUCAACCUCGAGACGUCGGCGGAAACCAUCUGGCUAGAGUCCGGAAGAGGAGAGUGGAAUUCCUGGUGUAGCGGUGAAAUGCGUAGAGAUCGGAAAGAACACCAACGGCGAAAGCACUCUGCUGGGCCGACACUGACACUGAGAGACGAAAGCUAGGGGAGCGAAUGGG
rnacentral:rRNA from 1 species